UACGUAGGGUGCGAGCGUUGUCCGGAAUUAUUGGGCGUAAAGAGCUCGUAGGCGGCCUGUCGCGUCGGCUGUGAAAGCCCGGGGCUUAACCCCGGGUCUGCAUUCGAUACGGGCAGGCUAGAGUUCGGUAGGGGAGAUCGGAAUUCCUGGUGUAGCGGUGAAAUGCGCAGAUAUCAGGAGGAACGCCGGCGGCGAAAGCGACUCUCUGGUCGGAAUCUGACGCUGAGGUGCGAAAGCGAGGGGAGCAAACGGG
rnacentral:rRNA from 1 species